rnacentral:tRNA from 1 species
AGAGACUUAGGAUAAGACAAACCAAGAGCCUUCAAAGCCCAAAAUAAGAGCUAAGCCUCUUAGUCUCUG